AGCCGGCGCCGCGCGCUGAUUGGGCGGGGCCGCGGCCAUCUUCUCCGUUCCCCGGCGCGGCCGAGCUGGGCGGGGUCCGGCUGAGUUCAGGCCCGCGCCGAGUCACCGGGCGCCGUGGCUCGGUCCGCUCGCUCCCUUCUCCCCCCGCAGGCAGCCCUGCAGCGCCUCGAGCGCGGCCGGUGGGGCAGAGGGGAGUUAGGAAGCGAUUCGCCUCCUUCCCGCGCCAUUUUAAGGCACGGUUGCAACACCGAGAGGGGUCUUGUCAUAGAGAUGUCCCGGAGGGCGAUUCCCGGCAGUUCUGGUCUCCCUCACUGAAAAAAAACCGCGUUUAGGAGAAAACCAUAAGGCUAUCAAGUUGCAGCUGUGGAUGAUGGAAGCACCAGCUUCCUGACUGACUCCUCACUGGAGUCAGUCUUCCACACCAGGAGGAGCACAGAGAGUUUUGCUGCAGGUGUAUCUUCAGCUACAGGAGCUUCCAGAAGACUCACAAAUACCCCAUAAAAACAGUGUCUGCCUUUUCCUGAAAGUUUGUUGGUGGUCUUAAAAACAUGGACAUCUACCUUUCUCAAAUCUUAAUAAGCAAUAGAGUGUGUUAAAGAUGGAAAAACCCGAUCUUCCCGCAGGUCUGUUCCCUAAGCAGAGGAACCACGUUUUGUUCGCACUGCCACAGAGCUGGAUGAAGAUGUGGUGACCCCUGCCCUGCACCAGGUGCUCACCACCCCUCCUCCCUGACCUCCCCACACUGCUCCACGUGUGACCGCUGCAUUCCUGUUAGGUAGACAGCUUCCCUAACAAGUCAGAAGCGGCUGCAACACAUGGUGGAAAAAGGGGGGUGCGGUGCUGGGAUGAGUAACUGUGGGAAUAUUAGCCCAACCCUCCAUGCUGUGCAAACAACACAGCUGUGCUGCCGGUGAUGUGGCUUAUAGCUGGCAGGCGCAGGGCACGGAGCAAGCUGGUAUCUGCAGAAGAGCAUGUAGACACAGUCUCAGUUGUUUAGCUCUGUGUUAACAGUGAAAAACAAAUCCUGAGCGGAGUGAACAAAUCUCAUCAUGGCAAAGUGCUUCAUAAAUUACUAAUUCAGCCUCCUGCAGACUGAUUGGGAAUCAAGCAGUUUACCUCAGAGUACGACACAUUUUUCUAUUUCGCCUUCUCCCUGUGGCACCUGUAGAUAUAUUCUGAUGUGCAAAGCUUUGUGUCAGUGACUAAUGACUACCAAACAGUUGCUGCAGAUUUCCAUAGGCCGUACAUUAUCGCUCCUCUUUUCAACAUCAGGAAAAGACCUAAGAACCAUCCACCUGGGCCAAAAAGGGUCAGCAGAUAAAAAAAAAUUCUUUCAGAACAUCAAGCCUGGCACUGAGGCACAUUUCAAGUGCCACUGGCAACACAAAGAGGUUUUGCACCACAGCUUUUGCAUUCCUAUUUCCAUUUUCUGACCAUAUUGACCAAAAUCGACAUUCCUGCCCAGAUGGGAUGACAAAGGAAACUGUUCCUUCCAAAAGCCACCGAUGUACGUGAAAUCAAAUGGAUACUCCAAGCAGUCCUUUCUGAUCAGCGCCUCUGGGAAGAUGCUACGUGCAACAAACCAAGUUGUAGUUUGGGAUAUUUUUGAAGGGGGGGA